rnacentral:rRNA from 1 species
AAUAUUGCGCAAUGGGGGGAACCCUGACGCAGCAACGCCGCGUGAGUGAAGAAGGUCUUCGGAUCGUAAAACUCUGUCAUAGGGGAAGAAGGAGAUGACGGUACCCUAUGAGGAAGCCCCGGCUAACUACGUGCCAGCAGCCGCGGUAAUACGUAGGGGGCGAGCGUUGUCCGGAAUUACUGGGCGUAAAGGGUGCGUAGGCGGCUGAUUAAGUCAGAUGUGAAAUACCAGGGCUCAACCCUGGGGGUGCAUUUGAAACUGGCCAGCUUGAGCGCAGGAGAGGGAAGUGGAAUUCCUAGUGUAGCGGUGAAAUGCGUAGAGAUUAGGAGGAACACCAGUGGCGAAGGCGACUUCCUGGACUGUAACUGACGCUGAGGCACGAAAGCGUGGGGAGCAAACAGG